GGGCCUUGUAGGUGAUACAUUUAAGCACACACACCAAAUCAGAGUGAACUCCAAGAGUAAGAUGGUCUCUAUAACCUUUGUGUUUAUCUAAAGCCUCUAAAACAACAUGAAAGCCGUACCCAUUGCCUGAUACCACAAAAGAACCUUUCUGUAAAAAAGCAGAUUUAGAAUUGUAGCUGGUUGAUUCAAUUCCAAACAUGUCAUCCAAAGCUUGCAAACAUUUAUGCAUGUCUUAAUGAAAGUGCUGAUAACUCCAUGUUUCAGAGUAUCAAAUAAUUGUACAACUGAAAUAUAUCCAGGCUACACAAUUAAUCAUAAUAAUAGCACAAAAUAUGCUAAAGCACUUCAUAUACUGACAGGAAGGCCAUAAGGAAUAUUGGCAUCCAACCCCAUUCUCAGUUUCAAGAUGAUAACUGUUAAAAGUCAAAGAUCUCAGAUAGCAAAGCAAAAUUACUUACCUACGCUAAGAAAGUAAUUUGAAUAGAUAUAGAUAGGGUGCAGUUGAUGGAGGCACUGGAAAUAUUUUUUCUGCUGAGACAUGAGACUGAAUGGGUCCUACAGUGCAACCUCCCUCCAUACAGCCUUCCAGGAGCACAAGAAGUUAAAAAGCAGAAAUACAACGUCAGGGUUUUGGGAGGCCUUUUAAAAAUUAUUUCA